rnacentral:rRNA from 1 species
GAUGAACGCUAGCGGCAGGCCUAACACAUGCAAGUCGAGGGAGAGGUUAUCUUCGGGUAACCAAAACCGGCGCACGGGUGCGUAACGCGUAUACAAUCUGCCUUUCACAUAGGGAUAGCCCGAAGAAAUUUGGAUUAAUACCUAAUGGUAUAUAAGAGCGGCAUCGUUUUUAUAUUAAAGCUACGGUGGUGAAAGAUGAGUAUGCGUUCUAUUAGCUAGUUGGAGAGGUAACGGCUCCCCAAGGCGACGAUAGAUAGGGGUUCUGAGAGGGAUGUCCCCCACACUGGUACUGAGAUACGGACCAGACUCCUACGGGAGGCAGCAGUGAGGAAUAUUGGACAAUGGUCGGAGGACUGAUCCAGCCAUGCCGCGUGCAGGAUGAAGGUCCUAUGGAUUGUAAACUGCUUUUGUAAGGGAAGAAUAAGGAGUACGUGUACUUUGAUGACGGUACCUUACGAAUAAGCAUCGGCUAACUCCGUGCCAGCAGCCGCGGUAAUACGGAGGAUGCGAGCGUUAUCCGGAAUCAUUGGGUUUAAAGGGUCCGUAGGCGGGCUGAUAAGUCAGAGGUGAAAGCGCUUAGCUCAACUAAGCAACUGCCUUUGAAACUGUCAGUCUUGAAUGAUUGUGAAGUAGUUGGAAUGUGUAGUGUAGCGGUGAAAUGCUUAGAUAUUACACAGAACACCGAUAGCGAAGGCAUAUUACUAACAAUUUAUUGACGCUGAUGGACGAAAGCGUGGGGAGCGAACAGG